GGCGGUAUAAAGCGAUGAUAUUAAUUUCUAAAUGUUUUUGAUCAACGUUAAUCUAUUAAUGGCACGGGGCUUAUAAUUAUAAUCAGAUGAUCAACGUAUAGGAUAAACCGUGCUGGCAUAUGCCUAUACCCCCUGGUGGCUGAUGUUGCUGUUAUAUUGGUUGUCAAUUCCCCCCCAAAGGAGGGAAGUGAGGAGCUGUGUGUGGGCGGGUAAGAGCCGUCUGAAACGGCGAAUCAAUACUUUAUUAUGCCUCUAAGAGCUCCGCAAUCUGUCCUGAGCGCACUAGCUGACCGGGGGUUAGUUGGUUUUCUGUUGUGUAAACUAAAAGUGGCUACCUGCACACUCGGAAAUCGUGAACUUUCUUUGCACUCUGCCGGCGCCUAGCACUCGGUUCUGCAUGUCUUGGGGCAGGCUUAGAGACGGCGCACACCGACGGGACAUACGGAGUGAGACGGAUGCAUGCAAAGUGGCAGCUGAGCUGAAGCCACAUUUGCUGCACAUUUAAAUCGUACCACCACGUACCACGUUUGGCACAAUAACGGCUGACUUGAACGCACAGCAUGGGCGGAGAACCCCCUGGAGGGAGCAGCAGCAGCAGCGUCGGCGAAAGUGGACAGGAGCAGUACCAGGCUUUAGCCUUCGACACCGCCGUCAGUACUCUAGUGGCUGUAGCCGUGUACGUGGUGGUCAAAGUCAGCCUGGACGGCUUCAGACAGUGGCGCUCCAAGAUCUCCGUGUUAAUAGUGGGCUCGGGACCGAUCGGCCUGACCGCAGCGUUGGUCGCUGUCCGCUCGGGGAAGGUGCUGAAGCUGACAGUGCUCGACGAGCGGUGCCGGAGCGCCCUGCUCUGCCGGCCCCAGCAGAUCGCCCUGGACCCCCGCAGUGUGGGGUUUCUGCUGGGGUUAGGGGUGGACUUUGAUAAUAUGGAGGGGUGCUGGCACAACGAGCACUUUUUCACCAAGAUCGGGGUGUUUCAGGAGUAUUUGUUGAGCAUCUUGGAGCAGAAGAAGCAGAAGGUCGACGUCCGUGUACAGCUGGGAACCAAGUUCACCGAGGAGUACCUGCACCGCCUCCCCCGGCCCCAGUGGCCCCGGGUGCUGGUGGUGGCCGACGGGUCCUGCGGGGACUCCUGCUCCGUGCUGGGCAUCAGCUCCGACUACGCGGUGGAGUCCUGCCGGGCCUACGGCGCCAACGCCACCAUAGAGAGGCUGGACCAGAGACAGGUGCCCACCCCAGAGAUCCGGGCUCACCGGCUCUACUUUGACCUGUCGGCCUACGGGGUAGAAGCGCUCCGGGACCACAAGAACCACGCCUCCAAGCCCGGCUUCCACCUGAAGAUCUACGGAACCUUGCGGAGCCGCUACAUGGCGCUGGUGUGCCCGGCCUCCGACACCAAGAUGGUGCGCUUCCUGUGUCACACCGCCAACGCCUCGAUCAUGAAGAACAUCUUCCACCAGUCCUUCAACGCCUACAAGACGGACAUCGAGCCGCGGCUCAGCGACCUCACGCUGCACCGCCUUCAGUGCAGCCGGCGCCUCUUCGAGGUGCAGCUGUCGCACCGCCAUGUCAGCGCGGCCUACAUCCAGGGGGACAACGUGGCCGUCACCGUGGAGGGCGAGGCCGCCCGCGUCCUCAACUUCGACACAGGUUGUGGUGUGAAUCUGGGCAUGCGCGGUCUUGAGUCUCUGAAAACGUUUAUCUACAAGACGGCCACAGCUGUCGAUCAGAACGACGUUCUAGAAGCGCUGGCCGCUAAAAUCAAACACUCCCGGCAAGUAUCAGAGACCUUCAAGCAGACGGGCCUGUUAGAGUCCAUGUACGAGUAGGCCUCGAAGCUUGUGAAGAACCAAUAUCGCCACCUUGUGGUGAGAUGAGUGCUACUGCACUACAAUGUUGAUAAAAUGUCUUUACCAGUGCUGUGAUGAGUCUUAUGUUUACUGAAUCGAAAUAUGGGUAAAAAAUAUUAUUAUUAUACAGCAUAACAUACAACCAAUGGACUGCAAUUAUGUGGCGCUCUCCUAAAAUGGCCACUCAUAGCGCUUUACAAUUAUUGCGUAAUAUUCACCCAUUCAUACACACAUUUACGGUUUCACCAAAGGAAAGCUCGUCGGGAGCAGUCGGGGUGAGGCGUCUUGCUCAGGGACACCCCGACACUCAAGUCAAGUCAACCCGCUGGAACUCUUGAGCUACUGCCGCCCAACCGGGUUAGUUAAGAGACAUUAACCAACAGUUCAUCACAACUAAAAAUAUUUUCAUAAAAGAAUGUCAAGAUUAGCAGCCUUUUUCUUUUUUUGAUGCCAAUAGCAGCAAUUGUAAUUUUUUUAUUUAUUUUUUUAUUCAUUGUUCAACUAUGUUGGGGAACCUUUGUAUAGUCACUGUUUAUACACUGUCUUGAUGUUGCUCCGCUUAAAUAAACUGUCAUUGUGCUAUGCUUUUCUUAGUCACAGAUUAGAAAAAUGCAGUUUCAGGUGUUGAUGUAAUAAUUACACACUGGCCAGACAUUUAUUUGGGUUAGGAUUAGGUUAGAUAAAUGAACCGAUAGUAACACCUGUGUUUAGAUAAAAUGUUCAGCAGAUCUAAAGGUGUUUUCAUUGCAGGUGUGCACCAGUUGGUGCUAUAUAAAUGGUACCUAGUUCCUAUAUAGGUCCUAUAUAUGGGACCAGAUAAUAUAUAUCUAAGUUGCAUUUAUGAGUCCUUAUAAUGGCUGGGGUCAGAGGUUAAAGUGCCACAAAAUAACUUGUUAGUGCCAGUCAUCCGAAUAAAACAAAGAUGAAGAUUGUAUUAUUUCUAUGAAAUCGGUUUAUUUGUUUAAUAAAAUUAUUUUCAGCCAUAUAUGCAUCCUUAUUUGUGUGUGGACAUUGAUCGAACAUGGGUUGUUUAUGUGGAUAAAGUUCAGCAAGAACAAUUGAUACCUUCGGUAGAUUUUUUAGUCCAAUUCCUCCACUGAAAAGGGUGGAAAGUGCUUACAACUCUCUGCUAGUUAGCGAUCUAUGACACUGUUGUUUUUUAAUUGGUCGUCUUGAAAAAAAACAUAAGGGGUAACACUGUUGUUUUUUAUUGGUCGUCAUGAAAAAAACAAAAGGGGUAACACUGUUGAUAUUUAUCAAAUAAAACAUAGGGGGUAACACUGUUGUUUUUCUUUGGUCGUCAUGAAAAAAAACACAAGGGGUAACACUGUCGUUUUAAUCAAAUGAAACAUAAGGGGUAACACUGUCGUUUUUUAUCGGUCGUCAUGAAAAAAACAUAAGGGGUAACACUGUCGUUUUUUAUUGGUCGUCAUGAAAAAAACAUAAGGGAAAUAAUAGAAAUAGACACAUACAUUUUAAUGUCAUGUAUAUCCUCUUUAUUGAUGAUUGAAUAUUGUGUAUUGUCAUCGCCUCAGUGGUGCAGUGGAGUGUGCUCUGCCUAACCCACAGGCGACCGCGGGUCAAUUUCUGUGGAAAACACAAUAUCUUUAAUUUUAAACGUAAUGCUAUCAUGUCUAUUGCAUAUAUAUUGUCAUAUAUAACCACAGACAUAUUUAUAUUAUUUAUCUCAGUGGGAAGUGGAGAGAGCUGUGAGCUAACCCCCUGGAGACCGGGGUUCAAGUCUGGUUGAUGUCCUCUGUUGGAAGACUCUUAUCUGUAUUUCAUGCGAAUUAUAAAGUCAAGUAUAACCUUUGUGUUGAGUUUAAUCGGUGUCUUGAUGGUGCAUUGUUAAGUUCGGAGGUUAAUACUCUAAACAGCUCAGGUUCGGAUCUGCGCAAAAACGUCGACAGGGGUACCACUGUUGUUUUUUAUUGGUCAACAUGGAAAAACAUGAGAGGUAACUGUCGUUUUUUAUCGGCCGUCAUGAAAUAAACAUAAGGGGUAACACUGUCGAUAUUCAUCAAAUAAAACAUAGGGGUAACACUGUUGUUUUUUUUUGGUCGUCAUGAAGAAAAACAAAAGGGGUAACACUGUCGUUUUUAUCAAAUGAAACGUAAAGGGUAACACUGUCAUUUUUUAUCUGUUGUCAUGAAAAACCCAUAAGGGGUAACACUGUCGAAAUGUAUCGAAUAAAACAUAGGGGGUAACACUGUCGUUUUUAUCACAUGAAACAUGAGGGGUGACACUGUCCUUUUUCUUUGGUCGUCGUGAAAAAAACCAUAAGGGGUAACACUGUUGUUUUUUAUUGGUCGUCAUGAAAAAAAACAUAAGGGGUAACACUGUUGAUAUUUAUCAAUUAAAACAUAGGGGGUAACACUGUCGUUUUUAUCAAAUGAAACAUGAGGGGUGACACUGUCGUUUUUCUUUGGUCGUCAUGAAAAAAACAAUUAGGGGUAACACUGUUGUUUUUUAUUGGUCGUCAUGAAAAAAAACAUAAGGGGUAACACUGUUGUUUUUUUAUUGGUUGUCAUGAAAAAAAACAUAAGGGCUAACACUGUUGUUUUUUUAUUGGUCGUCAUGAAUAAAAACAUAAGGGGUAACACUGUUGUUUUUUAUUGGUCGUCAUGAAUAAAAACAUAAGGGGUAACACUGUUGUUUUUUAUUGGUCGUCAUGAAAAAUAGACAAGGGGUAACACUGUCGUUUUUUAUUGGUCGUCAUGAAAAAAACAUAAGGGAAAUAAUAGAAAUAGACACAUACAUUUUAAUGUCAUGUAUAUCCUCUUUAUUGAUGAUUGAAUAUUGUGUAUUGUCAUCGCCUCAGUGGUGCAGUGGAGUGUGCUCUGCCUAACCCACUGGCGACCGCGGCUCAAUUUCUGUGGAAAAAACAAUAUCUUUAAUUUGAAACGUAAUGCUAUCAUGUCUAUUGCAUAUAUAUUGUCAUAUAUAACCACAGACAUAUUUAUAUUAUUACUCUCAGUGGGAAGUGGUGAGAGCUGUGAGCUAACCGCCUGGAGACCGGGGUUCAAGUCUGGUUGAUGUCCUCUGUUGGAAGACUCUUAUCUGUAUUUCAUGCGAAUUAUAAAGUCAAGUAUAACUAUUGUGGUGAGUUUAUUCGGUGUCUUGAUGGUGCAUUGAUAAGUUUGGAGGUUAAUACUCUAAACAGCUCAGGUUUGGUUCCCCGCAAAAACGUCGACAGGGGUACCACUGUUAUUUUUUAUUGGUCAACAUGGAAAAAACAUGAGGGGUAACUGUUGUCUUUUAUCGGCCGUCAUGAAAUAAACAUAAGGGGUAACACUGUCGAUAUUCAUCAAAUAAAACAUAGGGGUAACACUGUUGUUGUUUUUUGGUCGUCAUGAAGAAAAACAAAAGGGGUAACACUGUCGUUUUUUAUUGGUCGUCAUGAAAAAAAAACAUAAGGGGUAACACUGUUGUUUUUUAUUGGUCGUCAUGAAAAAAAAAGAUAAGGUUUAACACUGUUGUUUUUUAUUGGUCGUCAUGAAAAAAAACAUAAGGGGUAACACUGUCGUUUUUAUCAAAUGAAACGUAAAGGGUAACACUGUCAUUUUUUAUCUGUUGUCAUGAAAAACCCAUAAGGGGUAACACUGUCGAAAUGUAUCGAAUAAAACAUGAGGGGUGACACUGUCCUUUUUCUUUGGUCGUCAUGAAAAAAACCAUAAGGGGUAACACUGUUGUUUUUUAUUGGUCCUCAUGAAAAAAAACAUAAGGGGUAACACUGUUGUUUUUUUAUUGGUCGUCAUGAAUAAAAACAUAAGGGGUAACACUGUUGUCUUUGUCAAAUAGAAUAUAAGGGGUAACACUAUCGUAUUUUAUUGGUCGUCAUGAAAAAAAACAUAAGGUGUAACACUGUUGUUUUUUAUUGGUCGUCAUGAAAAAUAACAUAAGGGGUAACACUGUUGUUUUUUUAUUGGUCGUCAUGAAUAAAAACAUAAGGGGUAACACUGUUGUUUUUUAUUGGUCGUCAUGAAAAAUACACAAGGGGUAACACUGUCGUUUUUUAUUGGUCGUCAUGAAAAAAACAUAAGGGAAAUAAUAGAAAUAGACACAU
ensembl:lncRNA